rnacentral:rRNA from 1 species
AUGGCUCGCUUUGCCGUGGUCGCCGCUAUCCUCGCUCUCCUCGCAGUCGCCGCCGCGGCGCAGGGCCCCAUGCCGGCGCCCAGGAUGGCCCCGCUUCCGGCGCCACCGGCGAGGUCCCCGGCCACCGCCCCUGCGCCUGUCGCCACGCCGCCGACCGCAGCGUCGCCGUCCCCGGUGGCAUCUCCCCCUGCCCCGACCACCGACGCUCCUUCCGCGAUGACGCCGUCAGCGGUCUCUGCCACACCCGCUGGAGCCCCCGUCGGCGCCCCCACCGGCACCCCCGCGAGCUCCGCCGUGUACUCAUCCGCUGCCAGCUUCGUCGCGGUCGCCGGAGCGGUGGCCGCCGCCAUCGUGUUCUAG